rnacentral:rRNA from 1 species
UGCAGGGCGCUGCUAUACUGCAGUCGACGCUUCUUUUUCAUCCAACUUCGGUUCACCGAAAAAGAAGAGUGGGGAACGGGUGAGUAACACGUGGGUAACCUACCCAUCAGCGGGGGAUAACACUUGGAAACAGGUGCUAAUACCGCAUAAUCUUUUUCUCCGCCUGGAGAGAAAGUGAAAGGCGCUUUUGCGUCACUGAUGGAUGGACCCGCGCUGCAUUAGCUAGUUGGUGAGGUAACGGCUCACCAAGGCCACGAUGCAUAGCCGACCUGAGAGGGUGAUCGGCCACACUGGGACUGACACACGGCCCACACUCCUACGGGAGGCAGCAGUAGGGAAUCUUCGGCAAUGGACGAAAGUCUGACCGAGCAACGCCGCGUGAGUGAAGAAGGUUUUCGGAUCGUAAAACUCUGUUGUUAGAGAAGAAUAAGGAUGAGAGUAAAAAGUUCAUCCCUUGACGGUAUCUAACCAGAAAGCCACGGCUAACUACGUGCCAGCAGCCGCGGUAAUACGUAGGUGGCAAGCGUUGUCCGGAUUUAUUGGGCGUAAAGCGAGCGCAGGCGGUUUCUUAGUCUGAUGUGAAGCCCCCGGCUUACCGGGGAGGGUCAUUGGAAACUGAGGAACUUGAGUGCUAAGAAGAAGUGGAAUUCCUGUGUAGCGGUGAAUGCGUAGAUUAUGGAGGAACCCAGUGGCGAAGCGACUCUCUGGUCUGUACUGACUCUGAGGCUCGAAGCGUGGGGAGCAACAGGAUUAGAUACCCUGGUAGUCACGCCGUAACGAUGAUGCUAAUGUUGAGGGUUCCGCCUUCAUGCUGCACUAACCAUUAACACUCGCCUGGGAGUAGGUCGCAGACUGAACUCAAGGAUUGACGGGGCCGCACAACGGGGAGCAGUGG